CCCCCCCCCCCCCCCCCCCCCCGCCCCAUCGGGGGAUACAUGUAGUGGAAUUCACUCAUGAGGCCUCUAAUUCAUUUGACAAAUGCUUUAAGUAAAGCCAACAAAUUUUGAAUUCUUAAACAAAGCAUUUAACUCUUGCCAAUUCUUUGUGGAAAAGGUCAUAAACCACUCGAUUUUCUGGGAAUCUGUCACCUAUUAAAUUAAGUCUACUUAUCAUUAUUGUUUUUCUGUUUGUUUUGUUUCUUGUGCGAGCUAUUGAUUGUUCGGUUUCAUUCGAUGUCGUUUUGUGGGUCCCUGAUCACAUUUCUGAGACUCUUAUGACAGGGACUAGGUGGUGAGCCGCCAAAGCCUUCCUUAGGCUCAGCCAUUGACACACAGUAUGGUUCUCUCGACGCAUUGAUUCAGAAAGUCAAUGCAGACGCUGCUGCUUUGCAAGGCUUCGGUUGUAAGUGGCUUGCUCUGGAUAAAGAGCGGAAGCAGCUCUCAGUUGAAACCACUGCAGACCAGGUGGUAGACAAUCUGGACGAAAAUAUGAGAAAUAUUUGCUAGUAAGCGUAGUGUAUUCUCAGCUUUUCAAUGAUUCCAAGGAUCCACUUGUAACUAAAGGAUCCGCUUUGAUCCCGCUGAUUGGAAUAGAUGUUUGGGCGCAUGCAUGCUACCUGCAGAUGUUUUCUUUCUUCCCGCUGCGUAGCAAUGAUGAUAAAUGCUUCUGCUCACCUCUCAGUAUGAGGAUUGCUUCUUUGAGUAUGUUGAGCAUCUAUCUCGGUUGUUUCAAGGGCAGAAUAUAGAAUGAUCUGAAGCUUUCUUGCAUGAUUUUGUCAUUUGUUGUAAGUUGAAAACAGAAAUAAUCAUCCUCAUUCAUACUUAAAGCUGAUUUUUUUUUUCUCAUGCAGUACCGUUAUGUGUAAUCCAAUUAUCUGAAGGACAUAUGGAAAGUUAUUAACUGGAAAUAUGCAAGUGAAAUUUAUGAGAAAGAGUGUCCUUGAAACAACAAUAAUCUCUUAGUACUUAGGCUUUUUACUGAAUGCCAGGUCUGGCCAGGUAUAUAUGUAUAUUAAUACUAGCAUCUUUGUACAGUUUGUGAUGAAGUUUUGUCUUUUGGUUGUCUUUCCUUGUAUCAGACAUUAUGCAUGUAUUAAGAUUAGGUUUCUUAUGGUGUGCUUACUUCUGAUAUUCAUGUACAGGUUUAUAUAGCCCUUAUCAAUGAUUAUUUGAUCUUACUGCAUGUAGAAAUGUCAAACUUCAAAUUCUUUUAGACAUUUCACCUUCUGGAUCCUGAUCUGGCCAGGUUGAUUUGGAAGGUAGAAAAUUUUGUGCUCGGUUUUGCCACUAUUUUGACCACGUUCUCUAAAAAUUCUUCCAAACUAUCCCAAAUUAUGAAGUGGAACAAUCUGGUGUGAAUAUGCUGAAAAAUUUGGUAUUUUAAAAAAAAUUUUACGACUAAUAAUUUGGUAGAAGUUACUGGCAAUCUUACUAAAAGUACUUGUUCAAAGGUUUGGAAAAUAAAUUCUAGGAACAUUGUAUUUGCAAAUUGAUGUUCAGGAUAUAUUCUCAACUCUGUUGACAUAGGAAUAUUUUAUUCAAUAGAGAAUUCUUAUUUAUUGCUACUAAUCUAGCUACCCCGAAGAGCUGGAAAGAUUCUUAAGGAAAUAAAAAAUUUAAAGAGAUGAAUUUAAAUGUUGCACGGUGUUUUAUUUCCUCUAUUUUUAACUUCUGUGAAUAUUUCGGUCCAUUUCUAUAUUUUGCACAACUAUGUAAUUGUUUGUACAUUUUUUUUCUCUUUUGGCAUUUGUUAGUGAUUUCUUCUUAAUCAUUAAUUAAGAUGUAUAAUUUUGAAAAGAAAAAUUGUUUUUUGCAUCAUUUACCUAUGAAUUAUAUAAUUAUAUUAAAUCAAUUUUAAAAUUUAUAAGUAUGUUAUAUAUAACACGUGUUUGAAGUAUGAAUUUAAGGCAAAUGAGCUCUAGCUCAGAUAGCACCUUUUUCUUCAUAAGAAUGGUUCUCUAUUCGGGUUUUUUUUCCAAUGUUGGUUUUCUUUUCUUUCAUUUCGUUGAAGCUGAUUUUAUUUUUGCUUGUCUGAUGUGCAUCUUUUGAUUUUCAGAUUUGUGGUGUUCGAUUUGUGUUGAUGAACUGGGUUGUAGCUUUUUUUGGUUGUGUGAUUUGCAGAUGACUGAAAAAAUAGAUCCUUUUUUUGCAUGUUCAAUCUUUUGGUUGUCUGGUUUUGUGGAUUUGUUCGAUUUGGAUCUCUGUCUUGGCUUGUUUGCAUCUAUUAUAGCACCUUUUAGAGGCUUCUUUGCCAGUGGUUUCAAAAGAGCCUUUAAAAUCAAGGUUUGCCUUUAUACUAUCUAAAUUUAUGCGAUUCAAUGGAGCUUCCAAAAUGUUGUUACACACCAUUUCGUACAUUUCUCCCUUUUCCUACAGGAUUUUGGUAAUAGUAUACCUGGGCAUGGUGGAAUUACAGAUAGAAUGGACUGCCAGAUAAGCUUUGAUGAAGUUUGGAUCCAGCAGAUUCCUAUGAUCUACUAAUUUUAGUAUAUUUUAGAUAACUACUAAUUAUAAGAUUUUUUUUUUAUAAUUAAUUAUACGAUUUUUUAUUAUGGCUUCUCAUAAUUUUUCUUGUACCACUCCUGGUUUAUGUAAAUUGUUUUACUCAAGACAAAGUUGAUUACCAUCCCCAAUGCAUGUGGGAUUAUUCAUAAUGUCAUUUUUGGCAGGAUGUUAUGAUGCCUUGCUUGUUUAAUUGCUGUUUGUAACCAUAAGUUAUGUUUUACUCUUAGCAACUUCUAUUGAAAACCAAAAAAGAGAUGUGAAAGAUGAGUUUACCAGGAUGAACCCGAAACUUUCUACAUAAAAAUGCUGUACGAAUAGGUGGAAGGCUAGGUACACAUAAUACUUUUGAAGCCAGAAGUAGAGCAUAUUUGAUAACCCAGCGACAACAUUGGUCAAGUAUAUACUGAGGUUGAUUAAGAUUUCAUCUAUAUGCCUGUAAUGGAUUUGAAAUUCUAAGUUUAUAUAUGAAUUUCUCAGUUGCACUUCGACCAUGGCACUUUUCAAAUCCUGGUAGGAGUCAUUGAUUACUUGCUUGAGCAAAGAGAGAAAUAACUCAGAUUACAAGUUUAACCCUGAAUGAUGAAAGUUUCACUUUAACUUUCUUGUGUUUUGCUUGAUAACCAUGAUACCUUGUUUGUAAAUUGUAGAUUCGAACCAUAAGUCUAUAUUGAUUCAUCAAUUAAAUAAAAUUCAGCCAUCAUGCAUUUGUUGUGCAACAAAGCCUCUCAGUUGAUACAAUCUUGAACUAGGUACUGCAAUUACAUGCUUGUGCAUAAAAAUUUACCUAUCCAUUUAGAUAGUAUGAAUCAAUAUGUAAGCUGAUAUGAAAAUGUUUUUUAGAUAUUGAUGAACCUCACUUUGAAGGAGCAGCAAGCUCUAUACAUAAAGCUAGGGGAGAUCUUGCAGGAGAGGCUUGUGGGAAAGUCUUAGAUAUGCAUGACCCGUGUCUUGUUUGGUGUCCUCUUUUUCCCCUAGAUGUUACAUGCAUGGUGGCAUGAGGAUGAAAGAGAAAGGAUUAUAUUUCUAUAAGGGAAUUUGGACUUUUUGGUUUGAAGUUUAUGCUGUGUUAAGAGAUGGGGAAGAAGUACAUAUCAAAUGGUUCAUCAGAUUCAAGUAUCAUGCUAUCAUACCCGAAGGAUGCGUUUGGCCCGGAGGAGCACUAUAAUUUUGUGAU